rnacentral:tRNA from 1 species
GCCAGAGUGGUGGAAUUGGCAGACGCGCCGGACUCAAAAUCCGGUCCCCGUUAAGGGGGUGUGGGUUCGACUCCCACCUCUGGCACCA